AAAACCGCAUGCCCUUGUGGAUCGCAGGGCGUCGUUCAAUCGCUCGACGUUUCACUUCACGCCACGACGCUCGUCCGACGUUCAGUGCGCUCUCCGUCGUCUUCCGUAGAAGACAUGAAGAUCGCUUGGCUCGUGCUGGCUUCUUGCGUACUCGUAUUGGCACAUGCUGCUGUGCCAUAUUUCGAUGAUGACCAAGCCUAUCCUGCAUCAGAAGAUGAUUAUUCUGAAAAUUCCAUCGACAGAACUCUUCAACAGCCAGCAGAAAAACGAGCUUGUAUCCGAAGAGGCGGAAACUGCGAUCACCGAGCAAACGAUUGUUGUUACAACAGCUCGUGCCGAUGCAAUUUAUGGGGUUCCAACUGUCGGUGCCAACGAAUGGGGAUCUUCCAAAAAUGGGGCUAAUUUUUCUAAGUAAUUGCAUCAACACGAAUGGCCCAAUAACAACCAAUUUACGUCUGAAUCACUUUUUCUGUUUAGUUGAUUUUAACAUUAAUUUUUUGUAAAUUUCUUGAAAUUUGUUAAAUCACAUGUUUUCACGCUAUUGGGUCAUUCCAAAUUGGAUUUUUCGAUUCGGACUAGAACUUCGAUCACUCGCCCAGUUGAAAUGUUAUUUUUAUCGCGUUUAUUUCAAAAGACUGACUUUUAGACUCCUUUUAGAAAUUCUGAGCGACUGAAUUGAACUUGUGGUCCAGACCUCCUGCUUCGCACUUUGGCUCUGACGAUUUAUCAGUAUUUAGCUUUGUUCUGUUCGUUCUCAUUGUGUCAAAUAUUGAAACGCCUUUUGAUGAUGUGAAACCACGAAAAUCCGACGAAAUAUCACUUAUUUAUAAACGGCAGAAAUUUGACGUUGAAUUCAACUUUUCCUGGUUUCCUAGGGAGUUGGCCGCCCUUUUACUAAGAGUUUAUCCAGCCACAUUCUUAGUAGAUCAGGGCGUGUCCAGCAUUAACAUUUAUUUAAAUACUGGAAUUUAUUAGAGAAACACCUGCUUAUUUACCACUGACAUUUCCUUAGUAGUUUAGACACAUAUUCCAGUAUUGAACAAGUAACAGAAAUUAUAUAAAUCCUUAACAAUACAUAAAUAUAAUAGUAUUUAGGACUAAUUUAUUGUGGCCAUGGGCGCCGCCUUGUCAGUAGCGACAUGAAUUUAUCCCUAAACCUAAGCAGUUAUACUUUAACGUACAUAUUGAGACAUAGGAAUAUUUAUAUAUGUGAGAAGGGUACAACGUUCAGGAUUCUGUCAAUAUAUAUAAAAAUAUAUAUAUAUAUAUAGAUAUCAAUUGGCCUAAGA
rnacentral:misc_RNA from 1 species